rnacentral:rRNA from 1 species
AACGAACGCUGGCGGCAUGCCUAACACAUGCAAGUCGAACGAAGGCUUCGGCCUUAGUGGCGCACGGGUGCGUAACGCGUGGGAACCUGCCCCCUCGGUUCGGAAUAGCAGUUAGAAAUGACUGCUAAUACCGGAUGAUGACUUCGGUCCAAAGAUUUGUCGCCGAGGGAUGGGCCCGCGUAGGAUUAGCUAGUUGGUGGGGUAAAGGCCUACCAAGGCGACGAUCCUUAGCUGGUCUGAGAGGAUGAUCAGCCACACUGGGACUGAGACACGGCCCAGACUCCUACGGGAGGCAGCAGUGGGGAAUAUUGGACAAUGGGCGAAAGCCUGAUCCAGCAAUGCCGCGUGAGUGAUGAAGGCCUUAGGGUUGUAAAGCUCUUUUACCAGGGAUGAUAAUGACAGUACCUGGAGAAUAAGCUCCGGCUAACUCCGUG